CCUUCCCGUCCUCAGGGCCAGCUCACUGCCCCGGCUUCGGCUACGCUGCUCUUCUGCUCUUCUGUGGUAGAAGCUGCCCUUAGAGAACAGCAGGCAAUUUAGAACCUUCGUGGGAGGUGGGGGGCCUUCCUGCUCCAGCUCCUGGGACCUGGGGAAUGUUGACUCGCCAGACGCAGUCCUUGAAGACUUAGUGUUUUGGGGGAUCAAGGACGCCCCGCUGCCUCCCCAGCGGGACUGGUCUUCCAUUGCAGGAUCUCUGGGGCUGCUCUGAGGACAGUUUUCUCAGGCGCAGAGAAGCCCCUGGAAGUGGCGGGGCAAGUCUGUUUGCAGCGGCACCAGAGUGGCCUCCACAGGCCCGGGGUUCAAACGCUCUUUCCUUGAGAUCCCGGCACCUGUGGGGGGAGGCCUGGACUUGGAGCCUGCUAGCUGGGUUUCAGUCCUACCACCCUCUCUCCUGAAGUCCUGGACAGACCCAGACCAUGGCUGACCACCGAGGGCAGCAGCAGGUCUUGGCCUGUUCACCCGGCUCUGCCUGUCCCACACCACCUGCCAGCCCAGGUUCCAGCCCAGCCACCCGCAGAGGCCCCUCCCCACACCCCAACACGAAAUGGACGCCUGGCGCCCCUCUCUGGCUGGCCUGUCCUCCUGGCAACCUGAAGCCCUUUAGUGGCUGUGCGUCUGCUCCAUGCCAGUUUCUAGAAAAAGAGAGCCAGGACAGACCAAGGGCAGCAGAGCCUCAUGCGGGAGAAUCACCACCUGGGACGGCCGUGCGCUCAGCCCCGCCUGGGGUGAACCGCGCACCCUCCCCGCGGGGACCCCUGGAGUCAGUGACCGGAGGCGGGAGCACAGAGUGGGUGAUGUCUGUUCAUUUGCUACUGACCCGUUGAAUCCGCUGACCCAUCCAGCACGUGGACAGGCCUGGAAAGAGAUUUGAAACAAAUGCUCCAGCAGUAGAGCCGCGGGCCAGGGAACGGGGACCGGGGUUCCUAUCAAAGCCUUUUCCCCAAAUUGGGGAGAAGCAGGGACUUGUAUGGGGAUGGUCUGAGGCA